AGGAGGCGAGAGCGCGCGCGCUGGGGAGGGUGGGAAAACGGGCCUGCGUGGGGCGGGGCCUACCGGAUGAUUGGCACCGAGUGCUGGGUUAAGCUCCUUGACUUCUGCUAGACUCCCUUUCCGCUGAGUGAAGAAGGUCCACGUGGUUCCUGGCCUUCUCUGGCUAGCCUGGUUGUCCCCAAGCCGCAAGGUGAUGAAUCCCAUGGAGUGACGACCUUCUAUUUUUCAAUGUCCAACCUUCCCACAUUCUGCCUCUCUUCUAUCAGACUGUUCAAACAAUGGACCGGAAGAAAUUGCAGUUUCCCCAGGACUCUCGUUCUGGAAGAAGAGAAAGAUUAAAGCCUGGACCCGCCAGAGAGGAAACCUCUCUCUGGAACUUUUAAAGCAUUGUGCAGAAGAGACUCCGGUCCUCCACUUAAACUGUAACCUUGGCUCAGGACCCCGAAGAUGCACUUGGAAAGCUGCCGGACCUCUCUGUCUCUUUUCCUUGUGCGCUCAUGUUGAAUCAGUCUCCCUCUUC